rnacentral:rRNA from 1 species
GAGUUUGAUCGUGGCUCAGAUUGAACGCUGGCGGCAUGCCUUACACAUGCAAGUCGAACGGCAGCACGGGAGCUUGCUCCUGGUGGCGAGUGGCGAACGGGUGAGUAAUGCAUCGGAACGUAUCCUGGAGUGGGGGAUAACGUAGCGAAAGUUACGCUAAUACCGCAUAUUCUGUGAGCAGGAAAGCGGGGACCUUCGGGCCUCGCGCUCUU